UAAGACAGGGGGUGCAAACGUUGUUCGGAAUCACUGGGCAUAAAGCGCACGUAGGCGGCCAACUAAGUCAGAUGUGAAAGCCCCCGGCUCAACCGGGGAAUAGCACCUGAUACUGGUUGGCUCGAGGACGGUAGGGGUGAGUGGAACUCCAGGUGGAGCGGUGAAAUGCGUAGAUAUCUGGAGGAACACCGGUGGCGAAAGCGGCUCACUGGACCGUCUCUGACGCUGAGGUGCGAAAGCUAGGGGAGCAAACGGGAUUAGAUACCCCGGUAGUCCUAGCCGUAAACGAUGGGCACUAGGUAGGGGGAGUACCUAUGACUUUCCCUGCCGUAGCAAAUGUGUUAAGUGCCCCGCCUGGGGAGUACGCUCGCAAGGGUA
rnacentral:rRNA from 1 species